CUGAUUCAAUCGCUGCCUGCUGGUUGAGGUUGACAGUGACAUCUGAAGGUACUGGUGGAUGGCUGUUCAAUGAGUGGUUUCUGGCAGUCAAAAAUAGGGGUUUCUUGCCACUGCUGCUGAUUUCUUGCCCAUGUUGGAUUAAAUGUUGGGCCUCUCUGGAUCUCUCCUGCAGACUCUACUUAAAAAUACAGAAUCUGUGGACACUGGACCGGAUUUUGAGCAGCGAAAUUGUCAUGGUUUCCAUUUGAAGUCAGAGUAUUUCCGUUGGCAUUGGUUGUACAACCAAUGGAGAGGAGAGGAAAGCAUACACCGCAAGGACAAUGUAGCUUCAGUUAGUGUCUAUAGUCAGAUAUUUGUUUGCAGGUGUGGAAGGAUCGCCAUGGCCAGCGGUAUACCUCGAGCGACAUGUGGGAAGCAGUAGACUGUUGACCCCCUUCAAUGGAAUACAACUGUGUAUAUUUUGUCUUUAUUGUCAACAGAAGUGCAGAAACCUUUACUUUCAGGAAAUACUUUAAUUGGCUAACCUCUUGUUAUAAAAUUUAAGUUAGCCAGCAUAUUUCUGGCAUGAACGUUGAGCUGCAUGUAAUGACGUAAUAUGGGAUUGCGAUGUAUCUGCUAUUGAUUACUCUGACUUGCCACGAUGGUUUGUCAAACCUGCUAGCCACCAGAUGAGGCUUAAUUCCUGUCAUGUCAUCACAGACAAACAACCUUACUUUCAAUACACAUGAAAGACUGA